GUUCAGUCUGUGUCCUGUGUCUGCUCUCCUCUCUUCUCUCCUCUCCUUGACCUGUGUUUACUACUUCUGCAGAAAAACAGCUCCAAAUGAGACUUCAGUUCCUCUGAACAGGACGUCGACCAGGGGAAGUGACAGUAGAGAGAAGGAGGAAGAAGACCUGUGUUAUGCCUCAUUGGACAUCCGUCAGGGACAGAAGAGACCAAAGAAGAAGAAUAAAAUCCAGAACUCUGACCUCAGUACCUACUCAGCCAUCAAUACCAUGAGAGUGUGACCUACACCAGCCAUCAAUACCA